AGCAGCCGCCACGGUAAUACAGAGGGUGCGAGCGUUAAUCGGAUUUACUGGGCGUAAAGCGUGCGUAGGCGGCUUCUUAAGUCGGAUGUGAAAUCCCUGAGCUUAACUUAGGAAUUGCAUUCGAUACUGGGAAGCUAGAGUAUGGGAGAGGAUGGUAGAAUUCCAGGUGUAGCGGUGAAAUGCGUAGAGAUCUGGAGGAAUACCGAUGGCGAAGGCAGCCAUCUGGCCUAAUACUGACGCUGAGGUACGAAAGCAUGGGGAGCAAACAGGAUUAGAGACCCCCGUAGUCCCUGUCUCUUAUAC
rnacentral:rRNA from 1 species